rnacentral:rRNA from 1 species
UACGAAGGGGGCUAGCGUUGCUCGGAAUCACUGGGCGUAAAGGGUGCGUAGGCGGGUCUUUAAGUCAGGGGUGAAAUCCUGGAGCUCAACUCCAGAACUGCCUUUGAUACUGAAGAUCUUGAGUUCGGGAGAGAUGAGUGGAACUGCGAGUGUAGAGGUGAAAUUCGUAGAUAUUCGGAGGAACACCAGUGGCGAAGGCGGCUCACUGGUCCAUUACUGACGCUGAGGUGCGAAAGCGUGGGGAGCAAACAGG